AUCCUUUUGAAUUUCAUGUCAUGAAUGGGUUUUUACACUCCUGAGAUAUACCUCCCUCAAGCCUUAUUAUGAUGUCAGCGUAUUACCUAUGUGAUG
rnacentral:snoRNA from 1 species